CCGCCCCCGCGGGGCGUCCCGGGCCGCUAGUCUCCUCGGCGCUGGCUGCCCGCGGCCCGGGGUCGCCCAGCAGAAACCAAGCAGCAACAGCCAUUGGAGAGAUGCUAAAGUUUUUCUUAACUGAUGUCAACAGUGACAAAGACUUUGAAAAAGUUGCCACUUCUGGCCCGUGCUGCUAUCAUCCUUCCAUUUACCCUUGGACAACCCAGACUGGACAUUAGUGCUUCCCUCUUUAUUCCUGUGAUCUUCCAGAUCAGCACUUGACUGUUUAUUUUCAAGACUCACAAACUCAGCCCUCAGAUCUUCACAUUCUGGUUCUCAGCUGCUCUUGAGUGUAGGUUCCAACAUACUCCAGAGUAGUAUUUUGGCUGUGACAACUCGGACCAUGUUUACCAGAGGAUAUUCAGUUGAGGACUUUUACCAGGGAUCGAAUUCAGGACCUUGAGCUUUCGAGACAGGCACGGUGCCACUGAGCUAAGUCCCCAGCUCAAUAAUGUUAAUGUUUUAAUAAGAGAUAAUGACUCAGUAUGAAGAAAUAACUAAGAAGAAA
rnacentral:lncRNA from 1 species